UGAAAGGAAGUCCAAAAUCAGAUAUAGGCUGUGCAGCAAUGCUGUCAAACCAGUCCCUUCCUCCACAACCCUCAAGACCCUGAACGACUGCAGAUUGAGUAAUGAAGUUCUUUAUCUCCGGCUUCCCUGUUUCAAUUACAGCUGUGGGAGCAUCUUUUCCCAUCCUUUUAUCUGCAACAACACCACCAGCCACAGCAGCACCAACUGCAGCAGCUGUUAGCCCCACCACUGCAGCAGGCCCUGUCGCACCCAAUGCUAGUGCCCCAAGAGCGCCAACUGCGCCUGCACCAACUCCAGCGGCUGUUGCUGAACUAGCUGAUAGGGCAACAGCUGCAACUUCUGCACUCUCCAAGACCCACAGAACAAUGGCAGAGUAAUCUAUGAUCCCUAGGUACCUAUCUCUCCAAUUUGAACUAUUUCCUUUGUCAGGGUUUCUCACAGGAGCCGAAAAAAUGUUGCAUUCAGAUAAAACCUUUACGGCAUCAGCAACGGAAGUGUCUGCUGAAAUUUCAAUCACUGCAGGAUAUAUAGGCAAUGUGCAACACUGUCUUUAGUGAUUCAGAUAUGCUUUCCUUCAAUUCAUGCUAAGUACAUGAACCAAGUACUGCUGAAACUUUACAAGAACAACAAUUUUGUUGAUAAUCACCUUUACCACCGGGAACUUUUGGGAAUGAUGAAACUGGAAUAUCUGAAAAUGCAUUUGUUAAAAUCUCUUGCAGAGGUCGUGGUAAUUUCUUCCUUGACUGGAUCUUCUCAAAAUAAGCAUCAUAGCUUGAAAGUGAAGAACUGUCUUUGAUCAAUUGUUCGGCUGCCAUACCUACAUACACGAAAGGCACUUACUAGAGUUUCCCAAUAUCCAAGAUUCUUUUAAAAACAAAAUGGUGUGAUUACUUCUACACAAAACUGAUGGCUCACCAUGUGAAGGGACAACCAUGGUAAAAUCCAAUUGGGUGUGCUACUUUUUUUAACUCCUAUUUCCUUUUAGCCUUUGUAAAUAAUUGGAGUUCACCACCAAAUCAUGGUAUCUCACACGCCCAUAUAUAGAGGUGUUGUACAAUGAACUUUGUUUUUACAAUUGUUCAUCGAUCUAAAAAGUUUAAAUUGCUUGA